UACGAAGGGGGCUAGCGUUGCUCGGAAUCACUGGGCGUAAAGCGCACGUAGGCGGAUUGUUAAGUCAGGGGUGAAAUCCUGGAGCUCAACUCCAGAACUGCCUUUGAUACUGGCGAUCUUGAGUCCGGGAGAGGUGAGUGGAACUGCGAGUGUAGAGGUGAAAUUCGUAGAUAUUCGCAAGAACACCAGUGGCGAAGGCGGCUCACUGGCCCGGUACUGACGCUGAGGUGCGGAAAGCGUGGGGAGCAACAGGG
rnacentral:rRNA from 1 species